GACAGAGGGUGCAAACGUUGUUCGGAAUUACUGGGCGUAAAGCGUGUGUAGGCGGCCACGUAAGUCGGAUGUGAAAGCCCCAGGCUCAACCUGGGAAGUGCACUCGAUACUGCGUGGCUUGAGUAUCGGAGAGGUUGGUGGAAUUCUCGGUGUAGAGGUGAAAUUCGUAGAUAUCAGGAAGAACACCAACGGCGAAGGCAGCUCGCUAGGACGGUACUGACGCUGAGACGCGAAAGCGUGGGGAGCGAACAGG
rnacentral:rRNA from 1 species